rnacentral:lncRNA from 1 species
AUGGAGCAGCAGGAUGGAGGGGAGGGAUGGAGCAGAGGGAUGGAGCCCAAGGAUGGAGCAGUGAAACAGUGCAGCAGCCGCCUUGCAGGACCGGGCGGGGAGAGGAAGGGAUGGGCAGAGCCGGCGCCGUGGAGCAAAGCCCUUCUCCCCCUGGUUUUACCAGCCUCUGUGGACCUUGCCGGGGUGGGUGCCAUCACCCCUUCUCCCAGGCUUGUCAGCCCUGUCCUGACAUCUGCCCUUGGGUUUGUGACCCCCUCUUUGUUCCCUGUGAAUAGCAAAAAAGAAAAAGCAAAUGCAAAAUACACCCACCAAGCAAAGCUUGCAAGAGAAAUGAGCUGGAGAGAGGCCGGGCGGUCCUUUGGCGUGGGAAUGGAGUGGGGAAAAGGGCAAAGGAGACAAGGAGGCUGCAGAGAAAUGCGGGUGUCUGCAUUUCUGGGGACAGGCCCAGGACACAGCAGGGAGCUGGGAGCUGCAGAAAGGCACAGAAAGGUCAGCAGGGGCCAAAUGCCCCGGUACGUUGGUGAUCUGCCUGGGCCAUCGCUCCUGCCUUCAGUUUCACAGCCCCAGCUCACAGCCCUUUUCAGCAGGUGUGUCCUGUGGCUCUGGGACAGCAGGGUGACAGCCCAGACUUCUCAGGGAGCCUUAUUCCUCUAUGCCUGUAGCCAAGCCAGGGCCAUCACAUUCCCUCUGCCACAUCUCUGUUCGAGCUCAGCACCCCCUGACAGGGAGCAGCCCUGUUGGGACCGGGUACAACCCCUUUUUCUGAGGAAUGUUGCUGGAGAGGAGGACAGGGACCCAUAUGCAUGGAAUCCAAACUCUUCAUGGGGGAAAAUAGCCCAUAUAUGUCUGCAUCCUUCAGACUCCUCCCAGCAUGACCACCUCCCACAUCACCCCCAAACCUCCUGCCACCCCAAGGGCUGCUGGCUCUGUACUGGGACAGCCCCACACGCGUUGAUGGAGCAGGGAGAACUCCCUCUUCUCCCUGGACGCCUUCCUCUUCCCAGCCAGAGCACCACCAACCAAAGCUGCCCUUCUCUCUGCCCAAAGACAUCCUUUCCCAUUUGUAACUCCAGGCAGAUCCCUGCUCCUCCCUGUUUAAGGGAUCAGGGGAAACCAGCAAAAUGUGAGGGGCAAGCUCCCAAACCGUGUGGGAAAAGGAGCAUCCUGAUGGUUUCAUUGCUAUUUUAA